rnacentral:rRNA from 1 species
AUGGCGCCGCAAGAUGCCCCGGGGGGAUCUCGGAAAGGAAAAGAGCCGGUCGAAGAACUUCUUAGAAGGUUGGAUCUACAGGAGGAAGAGGAGGACAAGUUUGUAUGGGAGGAGGAAUUCAAGGAUGAACCGGUGGCGGCAAAGUGGCUCGCGAUCGCAAAGGUGCAUACAGAGAAGAGUUUUAGCCCGUCGGCGCUCUACUCCGACAUGCGAGCAGCCUGGAACCCCGCAAGAACUGUUAGUUGGCGUAAGGUUGAGGACAACCUCUUUACGGUGCAGUUUGGAUGCUUAGGGGAUUGGAACACGGCCAUGAACAUGGGGCCGUGGCUUUUUCGAGAUCAGGGAGUGAUGUUAGUGGAAUAUGAUGGAUUCACAAACCCUAGAUCGAUAAAGCUUGAUACGAUUGCUGUCUGGGCGAGAAUCCUCAAACUACCGGAUAAUUUCCUCUUUCCGGCAGCUAUUAGAGGCAUGUGCAGAAGAAUGGGCAGAAUUAUGGAAGUUUAG